rnacentral:SRP_RNA from 1 species
GCCGGGUGUGGUGGCACGUGCCUGUAGUCCCAGCUACUCAGGAAGCUGAGGCUGGAGGAUCUCUUGAGUCCAGGAGUUCUGGGCUGUAGUGCGCUAUGCCAAUUGGGUGUUCGCACUAAGUUCGGCAUCAAUAUGGUGACCUCCUGGCAGCAGGGGACCACCAGGUUGCCUAAGGAGGGGUGAACCAGCCCAGGUUGGAAACAGAGCAGGUCAAAACUCCCAUGCUGAUCAGUAGUGGGAUUGCGCCUGUGAAUAGCUUGCACUCCAUAGUGUGGGAUCGCAUCUGUACUCCAGCCUGGGUAACAUAGCGAGACCCCAUCUCU